rnacentral:rRNA from 1 species
AGUGAACGCUGGCGGUAGGCCUAACACAUGCAAGUCGAACGGCAGCACAGGAGAGCUUGCUCUCUGGGUGGCGAGUGGCGGACGGGUGAGGAAUACAUCGGAAUCUACUUUUUCGUGGGGGAUAACGUAGGGAAACUUACGCUAAUACCGCAGACGACCUACGGGUGAAAGCAGGGGAUCUUCGGACCUUGCGCGAUUGAAUGAGCCGAUGUCGGAUUAGCUAGCUGGCGGGGUAAAGGCCCACCAAGGCGACGAUCCGUAGCUGGUCUGAGAGGAUGAUCAGCCACACUGGAACUGAGACACGGUCCAGACUCCUACGGGAGGCAGCAGUGGGGAAUAUUGGACAAUGGGCGCAAGCCUGAUCCAGCCAUACCGCGUGGGUGAAGAAGGCCUUCGGGUUGUAAAGCCCUUUUGUUGGGAAAGAAAUACAGCUGGUUAAUACCCGGUUGGGAUGACGGUACCCAAAGAAUAAGCACCGGCUAACUUCGUGCCAGCAGCCGCCGUAA